AAUAGUGGAAAUUCUUCUGGAAACUUCGUUUCAUCCCCUCAUAGAGAGUAGUUUUGAUAUGCUCCCAACUCUGCCAAGUGGACAGACUCCACUAGCUCUCUUAGAAUACAGAAAUAUAGAAAGAAAAAUAGAAUUGAAAAGCAAAAGGCACAAAAUUUGUGUGUACAUAUGGCAAUGGGAUAACUGCUUUAGACAUAUUUUGGUCUGUAAACGCCUGUGGCAACUUGCUCCUUUGUUUUUCCAGAUUUUGCUCAUGGGAGGGACACUUAAUUUGUUCUUUGAAUUUAACCAUUGUGUUUAACAUACAUCCUGAUUUAAUCAUUUUGGUCAAAAUUUUCUUUUUAUAACAUCCAGACAGCUUGUGCAUAUAACCACAUGCAGUUUUAUUUUGUCACCAACUGGUCACCAUAUGGAAGCCAGUUGAAAUGUAUUUUGAUUAUAUAACUUUUUGCACAUAGGCACAUCAUCUUGGGGUGCUCAGGUAGCAUUGUGGCAAGUGGAUUCAUCUUGAGACUAAAGAUAAGGGUCUGAUAGUUGGCAUUUCUGGACUCAUAAUAUCUUGUCAAAGAAUGACCUGUGAAAUGGUAACCAAUGCCUUAGAUUACCUUUUCAUAGGAUGGACUCAUAAAAAUAUGUGCUAUCCAACCUUCUUCAGAGGUGAUGAUUAAUGUUACAGGUAUUUCUUUAGUAAUUUGACUAUACAAACAAUACAUUCACAAUAAAAAAAUAUAUUUAUAGAACAGAGAAGCAGAAGGAAGACUAGAGUGAGUGGUUAGAGCUGUUGAAAUGCAUAUGUAAUUUCUUCCCUUUUUAAAAAAAUUGAAAGUGGGCUCUUGCACAGAGACUUCUGUCAUAAAAAUGAAAAUGAAUAAUAAAAACUGCAUUUUUUCCUUCCUUAUUCACCCCUGGUAAAUGUUAUUUUAAGGUCAUUUAAAAUAAAAUAAUUUUCUUACAACAUUUAAUUACAUGUGUUGAAAAAUGACCUAAUUUACUGUAGAAAUAAGGAUUUAUUUUUAGUCUCAAAUUUAAAGAUAUAAGAAAAUAACAUGCAGUAGUUUUCUAGAUGCUAUUAGAUAUUUGUUUUCCAUUUUGGCAUUUCCUUUCAGUUGACCUGACAUGAAGAUAAAAAUGACAGCUAUUUUUCAGUUGGCAUUUGAAAGACAAGAGCAGUAAGAAACCCAGCAGAACUCCUAGAGAAUUUUCAUAGGGAAAAUAAACAUAUUGACAUUCUUUGACUUUUGUAUAUUGAUUUUUCGCACCAGCUGCUCCAAAGCCAUUAAGAGUUGGAGUUAAUCAUUCUUGAUUUUUUUACUGUCAAUCAGUUCCCUUAUUCAUAAUGCUGAAUAAUACCAAUACUAUUUAGUUUUAUUUAUGCUCACAUGCAGUGCUAUGGUAAAAAAUUCAUAAGGUGGCAUACUGAAAUUCUUGCAGGUAACUGCUAAAAUAUGAGUUCUUUAGUAGGCUGUUGAUUGAUAUUCUAAGUAAAGGAAUAAAUCUUGUGAAUUUCAAAGGUGGUUGAAGAAUGAUCUUAACCCAACAGUGUUAAAAGUAUUGGUAUCUCUGUCCUACAAAGAUAACCUGAAGGCUCUUUUGAAAUAUGUACAAAUCCUUAAUUUAAAAAAAAAAUUACUGGUGAAUUCAACUUAAUUAGCAGUAAAAAGGAAUGGUUCUUCAUCCCUAUGUUGGUAUCUACUUUCCUUGCAAGGUUAUCUAUCAAAGCUUCUUGAUAGAAAUUGAUGCCCGAGUCUAAUAAGCUCACUCACUAUAGAUUCAUAAAGUGUUCCUGUUCAUAACAAACUUUUAAACCCAGGGGAAAAAAAAUGGACAGUGUGAUAAGCUGAACAAUGACCUUCCAAAGACAUCUACGCCCUAAUCCCUGAAACCUGUAACUGUUACAUUACAUGGUGAAGGGGAGUUUGGUAGCAGAUGAAAUUAAGGUUACUAAUCAGUUGACCUUAAAAUAUAUUAUUCUGGAUUAUCCAAGUAAUCAGAUUCUCCCUAGAGUUUCCAGAAAGAAAGGCAGCCUUGAGAACAUCUUGAUUUUAGUCUUAUGUGACCCAUCCCAGACUUCUAAGCUACAGAACUGUAAGACAGGGAAUAAGUUUGUGAAAACUUGUCAGAGAAACAAUAAAAAACUAAUACAAACAGUAAAAGACAAUAAUGUCUAUUAAAUCAUGCAGUCAUGGAACAUCUAUUACAUGCCUGCUUAAUAAAUACAGUUUAAUUCCUAUUGCAACCUCUGUGGUGUAAUUAAAACAUCCUCCAUGAAUCAGUGAAAAUCAUACUUGAGUGUCUGUCAAUUGCUUUAAUAACAGCUUUAUGACUUCUCUACUAAUUAUAUUAGGAAGGCUGGCGCUUAAUGGAGUGGGCAAUGGGGUUGACACCCCCAAACAUCUUUCCACCCACACACAUCAUGUACAACCAUUCAUUUUCACCCUGUUCCUAAGGUUCCCCAUUAAUGCAGGGGGAUGCUGGCUCAUGACUAUUCUAGGCACAUGCGGAAUUUAUUUGCCUGAACAGUUUGAUUAAGGGUCCAGGAAAAACUUAGUCAAACUCAUCCUGUAAGAAGUUAGAAGGGAAUUUUGAAACAUUCUAGUUCAAUAUUUUGGUUUUACAAAUGAGCAAAUUCAGGUCCAUGUCACUCAGCUGGUAAGUAGUAAAACUGAGAGGAGACUCCAAGUAUCCUGUUUCUUCCUAGUUCUGUGUUGUUUCCACUGUAGAAUGAAUUCCAACCAGACCUAUACAGUCAGUUCCCCAGCUGGUCCAAAUUAGAAUCACCAUCAAGCAAAGACACAUGAAGUAGUACAGCAAGACACCGUAGCUGAUAUCUGUAUACAUCCCUUCAUUAACACCAAAGAGAAAAACAAAAGUUCCAUGUUCAGUAAUAAUUGAGACCAACACUUUUCAUGGAUAUAAAUAAUAUGACUUCUUAUGGUAAAAAUUACCAAAUCAUUAAGGCACAAAAAACAAUAAGCUUACACUUUACCUUGUCUCUUAGUUACAAUCGCUGCUGCUGGAUUGACCUAAAGACUUGGGAGAUUUUUGAUGUUAACAUGGCCAAACCUCUUCUCUUACUUUCUAGAUAUGGUGCUUUGGGUAAAUUAGUCAAUUUUUCUAAGUCUAGGUUUCUUUCUCUGUACUAUAGAAAUGACUCUUCUAUAAUCAGAGAGCUAUUAUAAGGAUUAAAGGGCCAAAUAUUUGCAAAUUCCAUCCUGGUUUUUUUCCUUUGUUUGAUUUUUAGGACCGCACUUGCGGCAUACAGAAGUUCCCAGGCUAGGGGUCGAAUCAGAGCGGUAGCUGCUGGCCUGUGACACAGCAAUGCAGAAUCCAAGCUGUUUCUGCAACCUACACCACAGCUUAUGGCAAUGCCAGAUCCUUAACCCAUGAAUGAGGCCGAGGGUGGAAACCACAUCCUCAUGGAUACUAGUCAGUUCAUUACCGCUGAGCCACAACAGGAACUCCUGCAAAUUCCAUAUUGUUAUUUGGCACAUAACAGGUGCUGAGUAAACAGCAGCUAUAUUAUUGUUAGGUUUUUCAAAAGUAAAACAUGCUAGAAAUUCUGAAGAGUAUAUUUAUCUCAGUGGGACAGAGAACAGAAGGAAAAUCCUAAGCAAGAUCCUCAGGAUCUUGAAAGUGAGAGAAAAGAGAAUGGAUCACAGAGGGGCAGGGGUGUUGGAGGAACGAAUGCCAAUCCAGAAAAGGGGAAAGAUUGGAGGAAACUCAAGGGCCCAAGAGUCAAAGGAGAGGCUAGAAAAAGUGUCAGAAGAAAGGACAGAGAGAAGGUCAAAAGAAGAGAGAGGAGGGGGAAAAUGGAAGGCUAGCAGAGAAACCAGUGGUUUAUAAAGGGUGAUAAUUGAGGAAGACAGAAGAGGAAAAAAAAAAAAAAAA
rnacentral:lncRNA from 1 species